GUCCAGACUCCUACGGGAGGCAGCAGUAGGGAAUUUUGCGCAAUGGGGGAAACCCUGACGCAGCAACACCGCGUGAAUGUUAAGCCCUUCGGGGUGUAAAGUUCUGUCAAUAGGGACGAAUUUUGACUGUACCUAUAAAGGAAGCGCCGGCUAACUCCGUGCCAGCAGCCGCGGUAAUACGGAGGGCGCGAGCGUUAAUCGGAAUUACUGGGCGUAAAGCGCGCGUAGGCUGUUGUGUAAGUUGGGGGUGAAAUCCCACGGCUCAACCGUGGAACAGCCCUUGAUACUGCGCGACUUGAAUCCGGGAGAGGGUGGCGGAAUUCCAGGUGUAGGAGUGAAAUCCGUAGAUAUCUGGAGGAACAUCAGUGGCGAAGGCGGCCACCUGGACCGGUAUUGACGCUGAGGCGCGAAAGCGUGGGGAGCAAACAGGAUUAGAUACCCUCGUAG
rnacentral:rRNA from 1 species